UCCUCUGGAAUGAGGUGCCACUGAGGGUGAUAGCCCCGUAUUAACUAACUAAAACUUACAUACGGCAAGCUUUCAAAGAGUCGAGUUGCUUGGGAUUGCAGCUCUAAGUGGGUGGUAAAUUCCAUCUAAAGCUAAAUAUUGGUGGGAGACCGAUAGCAAACAAGUACCGUGAGGGAAAGAUGAAAAGAACUUUGAAAAGAGAGUUAAAGAGUACCUGAAAUUGCUGAAAUGGAACCGAUGAGAGGUAGUGUUGGUAUUGCAUCAUAGUGUGUGCCGCUUGCGGUGCCCAUGUUUGAUGCAGUACAAGUCAUCCUUACUUAUCUCCGCAAUAGAGAUCCCAAACCUGUAUGGGUUGGGAGCAUCGUUGUGUGGGUGAGUGACAGUGACAAAAUGCCUCUCAUCAUCCCGUCUUGAAACACGGACCAAGGAGUCUAACAUGUUUGCAAGUGCUCGGAGUUUACCUCCCAGCGCGGAAUUAAUGUAAAUGUGAACUUGUUCACUAAGGUAGAAUGCUUAGGCUGCACUAUCGACCGACCAUGAUCUUCCGAGAGAAAGGUUUGAGUGUGAGCAUACAUGUUGGGACCCGAAAGAUGGUGAACUAUGCUUGAGUAGGACGAAGCCAGGGGAAACUCUGGUGGAGGUCCGCCGCGAUUCUAACGUGCAAAUUGAUCGUCGAACUUGGGUAUAGGGGCGAAAGACUAAUCGAACCAUCUAGUAGCUGGUUCCUCCCGAAAUUUCCCUCAGGAUAGCUGCAACCGAACAGUUUUAUCAGGUAAAGCGAAUGAUUAGAGGCCUCAGGGGUGGAACGUCCUUGACCUAUUCUCAAACUUUAAAUGGGUAAGAGCCCGGGGUUGCUUAAUUGAACUCUGCGGUCGAAUGGCGGUUGCUAGUGGGCCAAUCUGGGUAAGCUAGAUUGGCGAUGCGGGAUGAACCGAACGUCGAGUUAAAGUGCCAAAGUAUCCGCUAACCUAGAUCCCACAAAAGGUGUUGGUUCAUUAAGACAGCAGGACGGUGGCCAUGGAAGUCGGAACCCGCUAAGGAGUGUGUAACAACUCACCUGCCGAAUGAACUAGCCCUGAAAAUGGAUGGCGCUUAAGCGGAUCACUUAUACUCGACCAACCCUGCAAGUACAAAGCAGUGUUGAGUAGGGGGGCGUGGAGCUCGUUGUGCAUUCUGUGGCGUGAGCCAAGAUGAAACGGGUUCUAGUGCAGAUCUUGGUAGCAGUAGCAAAUAUUCAAAUGAGAACUUUGAAGACUGACGUGGAGAAAGGUUCCAUGUGAACAGUAAUUGGACAUGGGUGAGUCGAUCCUAAGAGAUAGGAAAAUUCUAUUUGAAAGCGUUCCUUUUUCGGAAGGAGCCGUCUAUCGAAAGGGAAUCGGGUUAAUAUUCCCGAACCAGGACGUGGAUAAUGAGUGGUAACACAAGCGAAAUCGGGGACGUUGGCGGGAGCCCUGGGAAGAGUUCUCUUUUCUUUUUAACAACUCGGUGGACCUUGGAAUCGGAUUGACCGGCGAUAAGGUUCAGCGAUUGGGAAAGCGGCACGAUUUUUGUGUCGUCCGGUGCGCUCUCGACGAUCCGUGAAAACCCGGUGGCGUUUCUUAUUUGCACCUCUGGUCGUACUCAUAACCGCCUCAGGUCUCCAAGGUGUGCAGCCUCUAGUCAAUAGAACAAUGUAGAUAAGGGAAGUCGGCAAAAUAGAUCCGUAACCUCGGGAUAAGGAUUGGCUCUGAGGGUUGGGCCUAGGGGUCUCAGGACUAAAAGAAUGGCGACCCGGAGUGGGCUGCUGCGUAAGUGGCGGACCGCACUGGGUUGCCCUCUGGCGGUCUUGAGAGUGUCUUCGGACUUUUCCUUAGGUGUGGAACAACCAACUCAGAACUGGAGCGGACAAGGGGAAUCCGACUGUUUAAUUAAAACAAAGCAUUGCGAUGGCUGGAGACGGUGUUGACGCAAUGUGAUUUC
rnacentral:rRNA from 1 species